CCUCUCGCGAGAUCUCGGCAAAAAGUCUCACGAUUUAUUUCCAGAACAUGAUGCAUGAUGGGAUACACUAAGCCUCGAAUAGCGCUCCGGAGCGGUAUACGAGAUAGUGUGGGUUUAGUGUGCUUUAAGGGCACUGCACUCUGGCGUUUUUAAGACCUGGGACAGUCUUGCGCACUUACUUCCUAUCGCGCGCACGCCCUCUCAAGUGGCCAAGACCGCAAGUGUGGGUAUUUGGACAAGGGGGAAGACUGCGAGGGUUCAGGGUGCCAUUUGGAAUAUUUCAUAGAAAAAUGGAAACCAAACCUGCAAAAUCGUGUCGUUUGUCAUAUCCAAGUUCACCACAGGUGUGCUGCGUCUGAGCCACUUCUGCAGAUUUUCCCUGUGAAAAUGUUAUCGGCCAUCUCGCCUGUACCGUUGACUCGUGGGGAGUGGCAGUGGUCAAAGGUGUGGUUAACGACUUAGCUCGUCACCCCAAGCUCUUGGUCACACACUCCUCAAAGUGGCAUCGCCUGAAGGGCACUGAUAACACGCAUCCUGCGCUUCUGUUGGUUGAUGUCCAGAGAACCGGCAAUCUCACACGGAAGAAUCUGUACAUUAGAGGAAAAGGAGCUGUGGUUCUUCGCCCUCGACUAGCCAAGCAGAACAACUGGGGGUUACGACAGACUGCGAAGGGGCCCAAGGAUGGAUUCCAAAGGGGUUAAUGCCACAACACUGGUAAAUUCUCCGCCUAAAUCCAAUUCAUUCUAUAGAUUUUGGAUGGAUUUU
rnacentral:lncRNA from 1 species